UGGGGAAUUUUGGACAAUGGGCGCAAGCCUGAUCCAGCCAUGCCGCGUGCGGGAAGAAGGCCUUCGGGUUGUAAACCGCUUUUGUCAGGGAAGAAAUCUUCUGAGUUAAUACCUCGGGAGGAUGACGGUACCUGAAGAAUAAGCACCGGCUAACUACGUGCCAGCAGCCGCGGUAAUACGUAGGGUGCAAGCGUUAAUCGGAAUUACUGGGCGUAAAGCGUGCGCAGGCGGUUUUGUAAGACAGAGGUGAAAUCCCCGGGCUCAACCUGGGAACUGCCUUUGUGACUGCAAGGCUUGAGUGCGGCAGAGGGGGGAUGGAAUUCCGCGUGUAGCAGUGAAAUGCGUAGAUAUGCGGAGGAACACCGAUGGCGAAGGCAAUCCCCUGGGCCUGCACUGACGCUCAUGCACGAAAGCGUGGGGAGCAAAACAGGAUUAGAUACCCUGGUAGUCCACGCCCUAAACGAUGUCAACUGGUUGUUGGGAAGGUUCCUUCUCAGUAACGUAGCUAACGCGUGAAGUUGACCGCCUGGGGAGUACGGCCGCAAGGUUGAAACUUAAAUGAAUUGACGGGGUCAUAGCUGUUUCCUG
rnacentral:rRNA from 1 species